CCCAAAUCAGCGGAGGAAGCAGAGACAGAAAGCUAAAAACUGGACUGACUCACAGAAAGCGAUUGGGGCAGCGAUCUGCCCAAAUCACCGCCCUAAUCACACUGACAGCAGAAAAUACAGCAGAAGCGGGAAAGUGCAGAAAUUCAAGAUUUAAAAUAAAGAAGUCCUAACCCCUCUCAAACACUUCAAGAUCAGUCCUAGCGCAUCUCAAAU
rnacentral:lncRNA from 1 species